rnacentral:lncRNA from 1 species
AGAGAAGGUCCUGCUGUCUAUGGGCAAGCCUGAGCACAGAGGCUGCUCUGCUGGUGGGGGUGGGGUCACUUCUCUCAGCCCCAGACUGUCAGCUCUCAGGAUUAUCCACCUCGGCUCCUGGUUGCAGCAACUGCUGUGGCAGUAUGUGGAGCGAGCACCUCUGGCUCCCAACUUCUCCUGACUGAGCUGGCCACUCGCUUCCUUCUCCUCUGUGCCUCAGGCGCUUGCUGAGACUUCUCUGUUGGACUCUAGUGCUCUCUCCUGGAUGUUCUAUUCGAGCUCUGCCGCACUAAGCUCUCUACAUGGCCGAGGCACCAGACCAGAAUGCGCCCUUUCGACAGGCAGAGAGAGCCAAAGGGGAAAAGAGCUGAGUCAAGGCUGCCAAGUUCCUGCUUCCAGCCCUACCAGCCGGUCACUCGCGCCUUGCAAUGAGGAAACCAGGAGUCCUAUCUAGAGCCUUUCCAUAGUUGUGGGAAAGAAGAUGGGUAAAGUUAUUGUUAAUCUACAGAGGAAGGAAUGAUGCCAAGUUUUUCAAGGCUUCCAGAGUCACAGGAGGAGUCACUUGGUAAAUCCAGGAGCAGAAACCAGGUUAAGUGACUAGCCUAAGGUAAGAGCCAGAUUUGGAGCUUGGAAUCUGAUAGCCCUUAGGGUGCUUUAUUCCCUGAGCCAAUCCACACUUCUACCUCAGUAAAGGAAUCAACUGAGGGCUCAGCUUUUCCUCUGCAAGAAACCUGCUCUCUGGGACAUGUUCGCUUCCUGGAUGUUCUGACUAAUUUAAACUAUGGUUAAUUGAAGACUGAAAUAUUCGGGAAACUAUGACAGGAACAAUUUGCUACGGACAGUUUCCACCUGUACUCUCAAGACUUAGAAGCCAUAUGGAUAGAAUGAAAUAGGAAUUGGUGGUGUCUUGGAAUAUCUGCUUCAGGACGAUAAUGAAACUAAUGAUUUAGGGCAGUAGAAGAAGCCGUGGGAGGAACUUUCACAUUUGGCGAGGAGUGACCACUAAUUGGUCCAGAAGUGGACAUCUGAUAGAGAGAUUAGCCAAUGAGCAGCAAGAGGAGAAGACAGUGUAGAAGCCAAGAGAAGAAGAACG